rnacentral:rRNA from 1 species
UACGGGGGGGGCAAGCGUUGUUCGGAAUUACUGGGCGUAAAGGGCUGGUAGGCGGCCAACUAAGUCGGAUGUGAAAUCCCCAGGCUUAACCUGGGAACUGCAUCCGAUACUGGUCGGCUUGAAUCCGGGAGAGGGAUGCAGAAUUCCAGGUGUAGCGGUGAAAUGCGUAGAUAUCGCUUGGAACGCCGAAGGUGAAAACAGGCUGCUGGGGUUGCGCCGACGCUGAGACACGAAAGCCAGGGGAGCAAACGGG